rnacentral:rRNA from 1 species
GACAGCAGUCGCCGCGGUAAUACAGAGGUCUCAAGCGUUGUUCGGAUUCAUUGGGCGUAAAGGGUGCGUAGGUGGCGGUGUAAGUCUAACGUGAAAUCUCGGGGCUCAACCUCGAAAUUGCGUCGGAUACUGCAUUGCUAGAGGAUUGUAGAGGAGAGUGGAAUUCAUGGUGUAGCAGUGAAAUGCGUAGAUAUCAUGAGGAAGACCAGUUGCGAAGGCGACUCUCUGGGCAAUUCCUGACACUGAGGCACGAAGGCUAGGGGAGCGAAAGGGAUUAGAUACCCCUGUAGUCCCUGUCUCUUAUAA